rnacentral:sRNA from 1 species
GCUGGGCAUGCUGGUGCACGCCUGUAAUCCCAGCAACUUGGGAGGCUAAGGCAGGAGGAUUGCAAGUUCAAAGCUUGCCCCAGCAACUUAGCAAGGCCUUAAGCAACUCACGGAGACUCUGUCUCUA